rnacentral:rRNA from 1 species
AUUGAACGCUGGCGGAAUGCUUUACACAUGCAAGUCGAACGGUAGAGGGGCAACCCUUGAGAGUGGCGAACGGGUGAGUAAUAUAUCGGAACGUGCCCAGUCGUGGGGGAUAACGUAGCGAAAGUUACGCUAAUACCGCAUACGAUCUAAGGAUGAAAGCGGGGGACCGUAAGGCCUCGCGCGAUUGGAGCGGCCGAUAUCAGAUUAGGUAGUUGGUGGGGUAAAGGCUCACCAAGCCAACGAUCUGUAGCUGGUCUGAGAGGACGACCAGCCACACUGGAACUGAGACACGGUCCAGACUCCUACGGGAGGCAGCAGUGGGGAAUUUUGGACAAUGGACGCAAGUCUGAUCCAGCCAUUCCGCGUGCAGGAUGAAGGCCCUCGGGUUGUAAACUGCUUUUGUACGGAACGAAAAGGUUUCUCUUAAUACGAGGAGCUCAUGACGGUACCGUAAGAAUAAGCACCGGCUAACUACGUG